CCUACGGGAGGCAGCAGUAGGGAAUCUUUCACAAUGGGCGAAAGCCUGAUGGAGCAACGCCGCGUGCAGGAUGAAGGCCUUCGGGUUGUAAACUGCUUUUAUAAGCGAGAAAUAUGAUGGUAACUUAUGAAUAAGGAUCGGCUAACUACGUGCCAGCAGCCGCGGUCAUACGUAGGAUCCGAGCAUUAUCCGGAGUGACUGGGUAUAAAGAGUUGCGUAGGUGGCAUAAUAAGUAGCUAGUGAAAUCUGGUGGCUCAACCAUUCAGACUAUUAGCUAAACUGUUAAGCUCGAGACCGUUAGGGGUAACUGGAAUUGCUAGUGUAGGAGUGAAAUCCGUAGAUAUUAGAAGGAACACCAAUAGCGUAGGCAGGUUGCUGGGACGGUUCUGACACUAAGGCACGAAAGCGUAGGGAGCAAACGGGAUUAGAUACCCUAGUAGUC
rnacentral:rRNA from 1 species